rnacentral:rRNA from 1 species
CAAAUUUAAAAUCUACCUGGUUUYCAGGUCGAGUUGUAAUUUGAAGAUACGUUUUUGACGUUCCGGGUUGRACUAAAUCCUUUGGGAUAAGGUAUCAUGGAGGGUGAGAAUCCCGUAUAUACCAACCRUAGGGAUGUUAUUUAAUACGUUUCUAAGAGUCGAGUUGUUUGGGAAUGCAGCUCUAAAUGGGUGGUAAAUUUCACCUAAUGCUAAAUAUAAGCGAGAGACCGAUAGYGAACAAGUACAGUGAUGGAAAGAUGAAAAGAACUUUGAAAAGAGAGUUAAAUAGUAYGUGAAAUUGUUGAAAGGGAAACGAUUGAAGUCAGUCAUGCCRGUGGGAAUCAACUUAGAGGAAACUCUGAGUGCACUUCUUCGCUUGGCAGGUCAACGUCGAUUUUGGAUGUCAUAAAAUGAUUGGGGGAAGGUAGCUCCUUCGGGAGUGUUAUAGCCCUUGGUAGAUGUGAUGUCUGGGAUCGAGGAUUGCAAUGGAUACCCUUUGGGGCUAGCCGCCUGAUCUCUAAUUGGUAUUGGGUUACGGAUAGCAUGCUGACCGUGAUCUAAUUAUUGGUUAAAAGGUAGA